CCUACGGGGGGCAGCAGUGAGGAAUAUUGGUCAAUGGGCGCGAGCCUGACCCAGCCAAGUAGCGUGAAGGAUGACUGCCCUACGGGUUGUAAACUUCUUUUAUAACGGAAUAAAGUGAGGCACGUGUGCCUUUUUGUAUGUACUUUAUGAAUAAGGAUCGGCUAACUUCGUGCCAGCAGCCGCGGUACUACGGAGGAUCCGAGCGUUAUCCGGAUUUAUUGGGUUUAAAGGGAGCGUAGAUGGGUUGUUAAGUCAGUUGUGAAAGUUUGCGGCUCAACCGUAAAAGUGCAAUUGAUACUGGCAGUCUUGAGUACAGAUGAGGUAGGCGGAAUUCGUGGUGUAGCGGUGAAAUGCUUAGAUAUCACGAAGAACUCCGAUUGCGAAGGCAGCUUACUAAGCUGCCACUGACAUUGAUGCUCGAAAGUGUGGGUAUCAAACAGGAUUAGAUACCCGUGUAGUC
rnacentral:rRNA from 1 species